rnacentral:rRNA from 1 species
CCUACGGGAGGCAGCAGUGAGGAAUAUUGGUCAAUGGUCGAGAGACUGAACCAGCCAAGUCGCGUGAGGGAGGACGGUCCUACGUGUUGUAAACCUCUUUUGUCUGGGAACAAAGGCGGGGACGUGUCCCCGGUUGAGUGUACCUGAAGAAAAAGCAUCGGCUAACUCCGUGCCAGCAGCCGCGGUAAGACGGAGGAUGCGAGCGUUAUCCGGAUUUAUUGGGUUUAAAGGGUGCGCAGGCGGUCUUUGAAGUCAGCGGUCAAAGCGCGGGGCUCAACCCCGUCCUGCCGUUGAAACUGGAAGCCUAGAGUGGGAGAGAAGUAUGCGGAAUGCGUGGUGUAGCGGUGAAAUGCAUAGAUAUCACGCAGAACUCCGAUUGCGAAGGCAGCAGACCGGCGCGAAACUGACGCUGAGGCACGAAAGCGUGGGUAUCGAACAGGAUUAGAUACCCGGGUAGUC